rnacentral:rRNA from 1 species
UAUACGACCGUACCGCAAACCGACACUGGUGCGCGAGAUGAGUAUUCUAAGGCGCUUGAGAGAACUCAGGAGAAGGAACUCGGCAAAUUGACACCGUAACUUCGGAAGAAGGUGUGCCCUAUUAGUGUGUAGUGAACAACGAAGCAUGAAUGGGUUGCAAAAAAUCGGUGGCUGCGACUGUUUAUUAAAGCACAGCACUCUGCAAACACGAAAGUGGACGUAUAGGGUGUGACGCCUGCCCGGUGCUGGAAGAUUAAAUGAUGGGGUGCAAGCUCUUGAUUGAAGUCCCAGUAAACGGCGGCCGUAACAAUAACGGUCCUAAGGUAGCGAAAUUCCUUGUCGGGUAAGUUCCGACCUGCACGAAUGGCGUAACGAUGGCCACACUGUCUCCUCCUGAGACUCAGCGAAGUUGAAAUGUUUGUGAUGAUGCAAUCUCCCCGCGGAAAGACGGAAAGACCCCAUGAACCUUUACUGUAGCUUUGUAUUGGACUUUGAACAGAUCUGUGUAGGAUAGGUGGGAGGCUUUGAAGCAGGGUCGCUAGAUCUUGUGGAGCCAACGUUGAAAUACCACCCUCGUGUGUUUGAGGUUCUAACCUAGGUCCAUUAUCUGGAUCGGGGACAGUGCAUGGUAGGCAGUUUGACUGGGGCGGUCUCCUCCCAAAGCGUAACGGAGGAGUUCGAAGGUACGCUAGUUACGGUCGGACAUCGUGACGAUAGUGCAAUGGCAUAAGCGUGCUUAACUGCGAGACUGACAAGUCGAGCAGAUGCGAAAGCAGGACAUAGUGAUCCGGUGGUUCUGUAUGGAAGGGCCAUCGCUCAACGGAUGAAAGGUACUCUGGGGAUAACAGGCUGAUACCGCCCAAGAGUUCAUAUCGACGGCGGUGUUUGGCACCUCGAUGUCGGCUCAUCUCAUCCUGGGGCUGUAGCCGGUCCCAAGGGUAUGGCUGUUCGCCAUUUAAAGAGGUACGUGAGCUGGGUUUAAAACGUCGUGAGACAGUUUGGUCCCUAUCUUCCGUGGGCGCUGCAGAUUUGAGGAAGCCUGCUCCUAGUACGAGAGGACCGGAGUGGACACACCUCUGGUGUAUCGGUUGUCACGCCAGUGGCAUUGCCGAGUAGCUAAGUGUGGAAGAGAUAACCGCUGAAAGCAUCUAAGCGGGAAACUCGUUUCAAGAUGAGAUCUGCCGGGGCCUUGAGCCCCCUAAAGAGUCGUUCAAGACCAGGACGUUGAUAGGUCAGGUGUGGAAGCG